ensembl:lncRNA
GUACACUGACAUAACACUCAGCCUGUUCUCCAUGGAUGGUUUUAACCAGUGUGGUUUAAAUGGGCCAAAUCCUGUUACGCAUUUGUCAACAAUAAAGAUUCACUGGGAAAAAACGUUUUUUUUUAAAUUAUUGUUAAGAAAAUGAAGGGGAGAACAGAUGAUAAAGUUAAAAAAAAAAAAAAAAGGAAGAAAAGAAAUAUUGAAAUUUUAUGCACAUGUUCAUGUACUCAAACACACAUACACACACAUUGAUCUGCCAUAACACAGAACCACUGAUAGGUGACGUUCAAGGUGUUGACUUGGCCUUCAAAGUCCCCAGAUCUCAAUCUGAUUGUGCAUCUAUGGGAUAUAAUGGACAAACAAAUCCAAUCCAUGGCGGACUCACCUCGCAACUUACAGGACUUAAAGAAUCUACUGCUAACGUAUGGCUUUACCGUAUGUAAUUAAAAAAGAGAGAGAGAGAACCGGAGGGGGGGAUUUCUAAAAAAUGCAACAAGAUGAUGAAUGUAUAUUGAUUAGACAAUAGUAUGUUACGUUCUGUUUAUACUGACUAUUCAUGCAGGUGCUGUUCUGUUGGUUGCUCAUCUGAGAUCAUUAACCCAUCUUAAGCCUUGUCUUAUGCUCCAUUCCGGUUAAGGCUUGUGAAGACGGUUGGCACUUUGGAAAUGAUCAAAACAUAAGUGAGCCAAGGAAUUGCACUUAAGCCUUGUCUCAUGCUCCAUUCCCGUGAUGGGCAAGAGAACAUGGCACUGGGCUUGAACUGCACUGGGGUUUUACCUGUGCAAAUUGAAGCCUGCUAUGAACCUGUGUCUUAGUGCAGAGAAAACGCUGUUCAGAUGAGCAAGCAAGCGCCUUGGCAUUCAUCAAACAAGCUCGUGCCAAACAAAUCUUCCAUCCUAGGAAAUUGCUUUGACGUAAAGCAAGUCAUCCGAAUGUGUACUUGUAAACGCUCCGUUUACUUAAUUGAAGCAAAUGCACUGAAGAGGUGCAGAAAGAUGAGAAUAUAAACAUGGACAAACACGUUUAUAGGCUCCAGAAAAAAAUAGUCUAGCGUUUCCUUAAAUCACUUUUGCCGCGUUGCGUGUUCAGAGAAAAUUCGAAUGGAAAAUUGUUCUCGUUUGCUAGCUCACGUAUCAAAGAGAGAAGGGUUCUCUCGCCUUCGAUAGCUUAGUUGGCAGAGCGGAGGACUGUAGGUGCUCAUAUCGGUCAUCCUUAGGUCGCUGGUUCGACUCCGGCUCGAAGGAGGGCUGUCUCUGUGCGAGUUGGCUUCUUUUUUUUUCAAAAUGUUAAUUUGGCCAGAGGUGAGUAAAAAGCUCUUCCCUGACCGGGAAUCGAACCCGGGCCGCGGCGGUGAGAGCGCCGAAUCCUAACCACUAGACAACCAGGGACGAAAACCGAGAAAUUGGUGGCC